rnacentral:rRNA from 1 species
UACGAAGGGGGCUAGCGUUGCUCGGAAUCACUGGGUGUAAAGCGCACGUAGGCGGAUUGCUAAGUCAGGGGUGAAAUCCUGGAGCUCAACUCCAGAACUGCCUUUGAUACUGGCGACCUUGAGUCCGGGAGAGGUGAGUGGAACUGCGAGUGUAGAGGUGAAAUUCGUAGAUAUUCGCAAGAACACCAGUGGCGAAGGCGGCUCACUGGCCCGGUACUGACGCUGAGGUGCGAAAGCGUGGGGAGCAAACAGG